rnacentral:rRNA from 1 species
UACGAAGGGGGCUAGCGUUGUUCGGAAUUACUGGGCGUAAAGCGCGCGCAGGCGGUCUUCCAAGUCAGUGGUGAAAGCCCGGAGCUCAACUCCGGAAUUGCCAUUGAAACUGUUGGACUUGAGGAUGAGAGAGGUGAGUGGAAUUCCGAGUGUAGAGGUGAAAUUCGUAGAUAUUCGGAAGAACACCAGUGGCGAAGGCGACUUACUGGACACAUAUUGACGCUGAGGUGCGAAAGCGUGGGGAGCAAACAGG